UUAAAUACUGGUUCUCAUCCGAUCAUCGAAGUUAAGCAAUGUCGCGCCUGGUCAGUACCUAGAUGGGUGACCUGGUG